ACAUGGAAGGGACGAAGAAGAAAUAGACAACAUCACAAGCCAUAUGGAUUAUCCACACCUUCUCAGUGUUUCCCAUAGCAUAAGGCUGACUCCUUGAUCCCUGCUGCAGUUUGCCAAGUACAUGGCAUAAAUCAAAGAGCAGACCAGGAACAUAAAAAUGAUGUUUUUGCCACAAUGGUCUUUUUGUGUGGGUGAGUGUCCUCAGGUGAAUGAUUGGAAUAUAACAUACCCAUCAGAAGAAGACUUUUUAACGG